rnacentral:rRNA from 1 species
GUUAUAUGGUCAAGUGAAGAAGCGCAUACGGUGGAUGCCUUGGCAGUCAGAGGCGAUGAAAGACGUGGUAGCCUGCGAAAAGCUUCGGGGAGUCGGCAAACAGACUUUGAUCCGGAGAUCUCUGAAUGGGGGAACCCACCUAGGAUAACCUAGGUAUCUUGUACUGAAUCCAUAGGUGCAAGAGGCGAACCAGGGGAACUGAAACAUCUAAGUACCCUGAGGAAAAGAAAUCAACCGAGAUUCCCUUAGUAGUGGCGAGCGAACGGGGAUUAGCCCUUAAGCUUCCAUUGAUUUUAGCGGAACGCUCUGGAAAGUGCGGCCAUAGUGGGUGAUAGCCCCGUACGCGAAAGGAUCUUUGAAGUGAAAUCGAGUAGGACGGAGCACGAGAAACUUUGUCUGAACAUGGGGGGACCAUCCUCCAAGGCUAAAUACUACUGACUGACCGAUAGUGAACCAGUACCGUGAGGGAAAGGCGAAAAGAACCCCGGAGAGGGGAGUGAAAUAGAACCUGAAACCGUAUGCGUACAAGCAGUGGGAGCCUACUUGUUAGGUGACUGCGUACCUUUUGUAUAAUGGGUCAGCGACUUAUAUUCAGUGGCAAGCUUAACCGUAUAGGGUAGGCGUAGCGAAAGCGAGUCUUAAUAGGGCGUUUAGUCGCUGGGUAUAGACCCGAAACCGGGCGAUCUAUCCAUGAGCAGGUUGAAGGUUAGGUAACACUGACUGGAGGACCGAACCCACUCCCGUUGAAAAGGUAGGGGAUGACUUGUGGAUCGGAGUGAAAGGCUAAUCAAGCUCGGAGAUAGCUGGUUCUCCUCGAAAGCUAUUUAGGUAGCGCCUCAUGUAUCACUCUGGGGGGUAGAGCACUGUUUCGGCUAGGGGGUCAUCCCGACUUACCAAACCGAUGCAAACUCCGAAUACCCAGAAGUGCCGAGCAUGGGAGACACACGGCGGGUGCUAACGUCCGUCGUGAAAAGGGAAACAACCCAGACCGCCAGCUAAGGUCCCAAAGUUGUGGUUAAGUGGUAAACGAUGUGGGAAGGCUUAGACAGCUAGGAGGUUGGCUUAGAAGCAGCCAUCCUUUAAAGAAAGCGUAAUAGCUCACUAGUCGAGUCGGCCUGCGCGGAAGAUGUAACGGGGCUCAAACCACACACCGAAGCUGCGGGUGUCACGUAAGUGACGCGGUAGAGGAGCGUUCUGUAAGCCUGUGAAGGUGAGUUGAGAAGCUUGCUGGAGGUAUCAGAAGUGCGAAUGCUGACAUGAGUAACGACAAUGGGUGUGAAAAACACCCACGCCGAAAGACCAAGGGUUCCUGCGCAACGUUAAUCGACGCAGGGUUAGUCGGUUCCUAAGGCGAGGCUGAAAAGCGUAGUCGAUGGGAAACAGGUUAAUAUUCCUGUACUUCUGGUUACUGCGAUGGAGGGACGGAGAAGGCUAGGCCAGCUUGGCGUUGGUUGUCCAAGUUUAAGGUGGUAGGCUGAAAUCUUAGGUAAAUCCGGGGUUUCAAGGCCGAGAGCUGAUGACGAGUCGUCUUUUAGAUGACGAAGUGGUUGAUGCCAUGCUUCCAAGAAAAGCUUCUAAGCUUCAGGUAACCAGGAACCGUACCCCAAACCGACACAGGUGGUCGGGUAGAGAAUACCAAGGCGCUUGAGAGAACUCGGGUGAAGGAACUAGGCAAAAUGGCACCGUAACUUCGGGAGAAGGUGCGCCGGCUAGGGUGAAGGAUUUACUCCGUAAGCCCUGGCUGGUCGAAGAUACCAGGCCGCUGCGACUGUUUAUUAAAAACACAGCACUCUGCAAACACGAAAGUGGACGUAUAGGGUGUGACGCCUGCCCGGUGCCGGAAGGUUAAUUGAUGGGGUUAGCGCAAGCGAAGCUCUUGAUCGAAGCCCCGGUAAACGGCGGCCGUAACUAUAACGGUCCUAAGGUAGCGAAAUUCCUUGUCGGGUAAGUUCCGACCUGCACGAAUGGCGUAACGAUGGCGGCGCUGUCUCCACCCGAGACUCAGUGAAAUUGAAAUCGCUGUGAAGAUGCAGUGUAUCCGCGGCUAGACGGAAAGACCCCGUGAACCUUUACUGUAGCUUUGCACUGGACUUUGAGCCUGCUUGUGUAGGAUAGGUGGGAGGCUUUGAAGCGUGGACGCCAGUUCGCGUGGAGCCAUCCUUGAAAUACCACCCUGGCAUGCUUGAGGUUCUAACUCUGGUCCGUGAUCCGGAUCGAGGACAGUGUAUGGUGGGCAGUUUGACUGGGGCGGUCUCCUCCUAAAGAGUAACGGAGGAGUACGAAGGUGCGCUCAGACCGGUCGGAAAUCGGUCGCAGAGUAUAAAGGCAAAAGCGCGCUUGACUGCGAGACAGACACGUCGAGCAGGUACGAAAGUAGGUCUUAGUGAUCCGGUUGGUUCUGUAUGGAAGGGCCAUCGCUCAACGGAUAAAAGGUACUCCGGGGAUAACAGGCUGAUACCGCCCAAGAGUUCAUAUCGACGGCGGUGUUUGGCACCUCGAUGUCGGCUCAUCACAUCCUGGGGCUGAAGCCGGUCCCAAGGGUAUGGCUGUUCGCCAUUUAAAGUGGUACGCGAGCUGGGUUUAGAACGUCGUGAGACAGUUCGGUCCCUAUCUGCCGUGGACGUUUGAGAUUUGAGAGGGGCUGCUCCUAGUACGAGAGGACCGGAGUGGACGAACCUCUGGUGUUCCGGUUGUCACGCCAGUGGCAUUGCCGGGUAGCUAUGUUCGGAAAAGAUAACCGCUGAAAGCAUCUAAGCGGGAAACUUGCCUCAAGAUGAGAUCUCACUGGGAACUUGAUUCCCCUGAAGGGCCGUCGAAGACUACGACGUUGAUAGGCUGGGUGUGUAAGCGUUGUGAGGCGUUGAGCUAACCAGUACUAAUUGCCCGUGAGGCUUGACCAUAUAACACCCAAACA